UACGAAGGGGGCUAGCGUUGUUCGGAAUUACUGGGCGUAAAGCGCACGUAGGCGGACUAUUAAGUCAGGGGUGAAAUCCCGGGGCUCAACCCCGGAACUGCCCUUGAUACAGCACGUCUUGAGUCCGGAAGAGGUGGGUGGAAUUCCUAGUGUAGAGGUGAAAUUCGUAGAUAUUAGGAAGAACACCGGUGGCGAAGGCGGCCCACUGGUCCGGUACUGACGCUGAGGUGCGAAAGCGUGGGGAGCAAACAGG
rnacentral:rRNA from 1 species